CGACUAGUAUCCGUGAGGAAGUGGGUUCGAUCUCUGGCCUCGCUCAGUGGGUCAGGGAUCAGCAAUUCCAUGAGCUGUGGUGUGGGUCACAGGUGCGGCUCGGAUCCUGCAUUGCUGUGGCUGUGGUGUAGGCCAGCGGCUGCAGCUCCAAUUUGACCCUUGGCCUGGGAACCUCCAUAUCCCUCCGGCGCGGCCCUAAAAAGACAAAAGAGAUAGACAAAUAAGUAAAUAAAUAAAGGCGCUGAUGUUUCUUUAUUCCCAGCCUUUCUGUCCUAAUUACCACCCUCCCCUUCCCAUGCUCUACUGGCCUGUCUCCAUAUUUUCCUCAGAAAAUUCUUUGCAAAUUUCAUCGCCUCAGCCUUUGUCCUUUUGAAUUGAGAGUCUCGUUUCCUUUUCAUCCUUUUUUUUCCCCUGGGACUUACAUGUUUAUUGAAUUUUGACUUUAGAGAGGCAUGCAGUUGACUUACAAUGGUGUGUCGGUUUCAGGUGUACAGCAAAGGGAUCAGUUAUACACAGACCUGUGUCCAUCCUUUUUCAGCUUCUUCUCCUACACAGGUUAUUGCAGACCACCGAGUGGAGUUCCCAGUGCUAUACAGUGUCCUUGUUAAUUAUCUAUUUUGCACAUAGCAGUGUGUUUAUGUUCACUCCAAUCGCCUAACUUAUCUUCCCCCGACCCCGACAUUUCCCCUUUGGUAACCCUAAGUUUGUUUUUGAGGUCUGUGACAGGACUUUGGAGUCCCAGACAAACACAGGGGCCUUUCUUUCCAUUUCGAGGUUGGUUUAUUCUGGCUGAAGUCUUGGCAUUGGAGUGUUUGCCUGGCUGAAUCACUUGGGAUUUGGGGAGAAAGAAAGAAACAUCCAGCACCCCAGGUGACCACCUGUUUGGAGAACAGUGGAAGGUCUUACGGACCCUCUGACCCACGGGCAACAUGGCUGAGCUUUCACGUUGAGCUCUUUCAGCUGCAGACCCCGCUCUAGGGAAGCAGAGUGUCGGCUUAAUCCGACUGGGGUUCUUCUUGUUGGAAAAAUUAGAAGCAUAUCUUAGACGCUCCAAAGUCUUGAGGAACGUGCUAAGAGCAGGAGCAAGAAAAAGAGAGAAAUGUCAGAGGCGCGAGUGAGGGAGAAGAGGAAGCAAGUGACCUGCGAUGCAGUCUAGGAAGCACCCGUUUAAGUCCGAAACUCUAAGAAGGUCUCGAAAGUUGCACAUUUUCCUGUGCCAGCCGUUCCAAAGUCUAGGCACAGCAUCUGCAAAUGUUCAAUAGAUUCCACAGCAACAUAAUUUUAUUUUUCUACUGCUAGCACCCCUUCUGCUGAGGAGCAGAAAGUUACGUUUUAAGCAAGUCGUGGCAAACAAUCGGUUCAACGUUUGUUUUUGGUUUUUUGGUUUUUUGGCCCCCGCGGUCAUGGGGUUUCUCCCGCAUCCCUUCCUCUUCGGUCUGGCCUGAGUUCCGCGGCCACGAAGCAUCUGUUCUCCGGUGUCAGCCUCUCUUCUCGUUAGAAUGGACUGCGGUUCCUACUCCCACUCGUGGUCGCUGGCAUUGAUCGACACACCUGCCUCCAUCUCGCCCCCGGGUUCUGUCUAUUCUGGCUACUCUCCAUCUUCACAAAAGUCUCUUCUGAAACUUAAACGCUGACACUUGGCUCUUGUUUCUUUGUUUUUGUUUUGAUUUUUAGGGCCACACUUGCAGCAUUUGGAAGUUCCCAGGCUAGGGGUUGAAUUGGAGCUGCAGCUGCCAGCCUACACCACAGCUCACAGCAACACCAGAUCCCUAACCCACUGAGUGAAGCCAGGGAUCGAACCUGCAUCCUCAUGCAUCCUAGUUGGUUUCAUUACCACUGAACCCCAACAGGAAUUCCUUGUUUCUCUCCGCACUUUUGGUGUAAUAAUUCCACUAGGAAAAUUGUUACAGAUGUUGCCCCUGCUCCCAGCUUCCUGCUUAGCAAGUGCUGGGCUGGUGGGUGGCUGGAAAAACGCUGAAAACUAGAACCUUCGGUUACUACCUCACCGUAUCAUCCUGGUACAUCCCCCCAACACCACCAAGCACUUUCCUCCUCUCUGCUCCUCCCAACCCAAUGGACAACUCUCACUUCAAUCUCUUUAAAUGCUCUUCUAGGAGUUCCCACUGUGGUGCAGUGGAUUAAGAAUCUGAGUGCAGUGGCUCAGGGCACUGUGGAGACGCAGAUUCAAUCCCUGGCCUGGUGCGGUGGGUUAAAGGAUCUGGCCUGGCUGCAGCUGUGGUGUAGGUCGCAGCUGUGGCUCGGCUUGAGCCCUUGCCUGGGAACUUCCAUAUGCUGUGGGUGUGGCCAUAAAAAAAUGCACCUCUAGAUCUACCCACCAUUUAAAGGGAGCGUGGAACACAAGGAGGAUGCUUACAGCAUAGGGAUGCAGGAUGUGGAGCAAUUUAUAGAAAAAACAACUCCAUUUCUUCAAAGAAAUAUGGCAAGGAAAACUUUGCGGUGAAAGAAAAGCUGUAGAGUCAAAGAGACACAGAUAUGCCCGCCCAUCACGAUGCUUGGACCUUUCUUCAAUUCUGCUUAGAACCAACUAAUAUCGAAUUUGUGCAAUAACAGGAGAGAGUCCAAAACUCAUUAUAAAAAUCGUGAGAUCAUCCACAUGCUUUAAGCCAUUACGUUCUUGCUAAUGUGUUCCAGGGUCACGGAAAACUGCUAGAAGGUACUCACCAGUCCAUCAGGAUUCGUCCUAAAAUCCAGAUUCUAACUUGGUAGAUCUAAGGUGGAGCCUGAGGGUUUGAAUCUCUAACUAGCUCCCAGGCACGGUUACUGCUUCUGGUCUAAGACCACAUUUUCAGUAUAAAGGAGAGAGAGAGAGACGUUAAUUGAGAUUCCUCCCCACUCUAGGAAUGUACCAGCUGGAGACGAAAACCACAUGGGGAGCAAAGAAAAGAAGUUAUCACUGUUCGCAAAUAUCUAAACCGACUUUCACGAUUUCACUAAAAACUGAACACGUAUGCUGAACGAGUUUACGUGCCUAAGGAAGUAUUUAACAGAGAUCAUUUUCAAGUACCACUGAAGGCUCUGAAGGAGCCGUGCAAAGACUAAGGAUGAAAUGCAUGUUGGCGAUAGAAGAAGCUAUAACCAACUGCUGGCUCUGAGUAUCACAUGGGCGAUGGGGUGUGCGCGUCCCAGUGCAAGAGGCACCGGUUUCACACACAAGCUGAGCAUUUGGGGGAACAGGAGGUUCUUGGGUAAAUGAGGGCCCUUCCACCUCUCAGCAGAAGCCUGAACAUGCUCUCAGCACGGGGACCACAAACCGAUGCACGUCUUCUUCUGAAGCUCUGGACCAGAGAGACAAGUGCACAGGCGCUGGGCAGCGUUGGUGUGGCUGCUACCCACGAGGUGGCUUACGAUACUUCUCUGAGCCAUAAUGCGCUUCUCUCAAAAUAGUACCUACUGUACCUACCACUGUACCUACUCGGUGAGAGGCGUUAGAGAAAUACGACAAUUCCAUGGAGUAAUCCAUCUUUGGAAUCCAAAGGCUCCCUGAUCAAAUCCUGACUCCAUGGAAUAAACACUCUGACUCUGGGCAAGUGAGUUUACGUUUCCUGAUUACAAAAGGGGUGCGGGAGUUCCCGUUGUGGCUCCUCAGAAAGGAAUCUGACUAGCAACCCGGAGGACACAGGUUCAAUCCCUGGCCUCGCUCAGUAGGUUAAGGAUGCAGCGUUGCUGUGCCUGUGGUGUAGGCCAGCAGCUACAGCUCCAAUUUGACCCCCAGCCUGGGAACUUCCAUAUGCCUUGGGUGC
rnacentral:lncRNA from 1 species